GACGAACGCUGGCGGCGCGCUUAAUACAUGCAAGUCGAGCGAGAACCAGGGCUUCGGCCCUGGGGACAGCGGCGAACGGGUGAGUAACACGUGGGUAAUCAACCCCCGACACCGGGAUAGCCCAGGGAAACUUGGAUUAAUACCGGAUGCCCCAUCUGGCUUUCGAGCCGGCUGGAAAAGGGUAGCUUCGGCCUCCGGUCGGGGACGAGCCCGCGGCGGAUUAGCUUGUUGGUGAGGUAAAGGCUCACCAAGGCGACGAUCCGUAGCUGGUCUGAGAGGACGAUCAGCCACACUGGGACUGAGACACGGCCCAGACUCCUACGGGGGCAGCAGUAGGGAAUCUUGCGCAAUGGGCGAAAGCCUGACGCAGCGACGCCGCGUGAGGGAAGAAGGCCUUCGGGUUGUAAACCUCUUUCAGGAGGGACGAAGCCACUCGGGUUAAUAGCCUAGAGGGUGACGGUACCUCCAGAAGAAGCCCCGGCUAACUACGUGCCAGCCGCCGCGGUAACAC
rnacentral:rRNA from 1 species